UACAGAGGUCUCAAGCGUUGUUCGGAUUCAUUGGGCGUAAAGGGUGCGUAGGCGGCGCGGUAAGUCGGGUGUGAAAUCUCGGGGCUUAACUCCGAAACUGCAUUCGAUACUGCCGUGCUUGAGGACUGGAGAGGAGACUGGAAUUUACGGUGUAGCGGUGAAAUGCGUAGAUAUCGUAAGGAAGACCAGUGGCGAAGGCGGGUCUCUGGACAGUUACUGACGCUGAGGCACGAAGGCCAGGGGAGCAAACGGG
rnacentral:rRNA from 1 species